CCCUUAGAUGUUCUGGGCUGCACGCGCGCUACACUGAAGCUAUCAACACGUUUUCCCUCCCUGAGAAGGGCGGGUAACCUUUUGAAUCAGCUUCGUGGUAGGGAUCGGGGCUUGCAAUUGUUCCCCGUGAACCAGGACUUCCUAGUAGACGCGAGUCAUAAGCUCGCAUCGAUUAAGUCCCUGCCCUUUGUACACACCGCCCGUCGCUACUACCGAUUGAACGUUUUAGUGAGGCAUUUGGACCGACGCAUCUCAGUUUAACCGCUGGUUUGUGUUGGAAAGACUUCCAAACUUGAGCGUUUAGAGGAAGUAAAAGUCGUAACA
rnacentral:rRNA from 1 species